ACAUUUUGCUCUCUUUAGGAAAAGACAACAUUGAUUUUAGAGGUUUUUGUUAUGGAGGCCAGGGGGAUUUUUCCAGUGCAGCACAGAGAAAUCUGGGUUUGGAUUGGGAAGCCAGACAUUUCUUGGCUUACAUUUCCUACUUGAAUGGGAUUCGUUUGCCCCCUCCUCACCUCUCCCCAACCCCCAGGCAGCUAGAAGCCCCACCUCCUUGCUUGGACCAUAUGGGGAAGCUGGCUCGGUGGCUGUUAUUCUACUGACUCCAAGUUCACGCAGCUGUUCAUCCCCUGCUUAAUGUACUGGUGAGUUCCUUGAAGCCCUGAACCGAGGACUUCUUGUGUACUUUAACAUUUGUUAUAUCUGAAGAUAUUCUGAUUGGCAACAUUUUUAACAUAGAGAACUGUUUAAAGAAAAUACCGCCAGCACACAACUCAUCCACAAAUUGCUGUUUUUGAAAAAGAUGGAGAGGCUGUGACUGAGAUCAUCAGAGAACCAGCCCGGCACCCCAAACAUAAUAGGGCAAAGGAGUCAGAUGAGAAUUUUGUUCAGUAUGAGACACUGGACAACAAGACAGGACCCUUGACCUCAGAAAUGCAGGAAUUCAGGAAUAUUAUAGAACAUGAAGUAGCAGAGCCGUGGAGGAGAAUUUAUAGCACUAAUCUUGAGCACUUUCCCCCGAGGACUCUGCGCUGUUUUCACAAAGGCCUCUCGGAAUGCCAGGCUGUGAAAGGUAGAAAUGUAAACACGGGGACAGGAGUGUCCUUCAGUCUAAAGAGUGAGCCACGCAGGUUUCUAGUUGCCAGCAUUCCAGUAGUGGUACUGGGAAAUGGUUUUAUAGGAUAAACAAAUCACCCAAAUGCAGAAAAUGCAAUUCCACUGAAGCAAAUCCAACUUCCUUUCCUGACGGAGAAUGUAAUUAAAUCCUGCUUCAGGAGGACGGUUUAUAUCCUCUGCUGCUGGGGGUCUCGGCUCAUGCUCAUCGCUGGUGUUUACAAGAUGACAUUACCUGCCUCCUGUGACAUGCUGAGGCAGCCCUGACUUUGAAGAUGGGGCGGUGGUGCAUGUGAGGGAAGGGGGAUGAGUGAGGCUGUGUUUCAUUUGCAGAGCUUGGCUGUUCAUCUCUCACAUUCACAUCUGACACCAGAAGCCCACACCAUGCUUGGCUUUUCCAAAACAGUGAUUCUAAUGUAACACCCUAAUAAGCUGUGUUAACUCACCUUUCAGAAGGAGGCUGGGGGGACAUACAUCACAACAAGUUGAGAGGAAGGGGUGAUUGUAACAAUAUUAAAUAUAAUUAUCACCAGCAGAAGUUCUAUGAGAUGAAGUGAAUGAAUCACAGCUCAUGAUGUCUUCAAAAUACAAUUAAAAGUGCAAUUUUACUUUAUUUAUUUAGUUAUUCCUUGUAUUUUAAAAGUUGAGUCACUGGCAGUAAUCUCAUCAUGUCCUAAAUUAAAAAAAUCUAAGAGGUUCAUGAAUUUGCUACUCAUUUUUGGUCCUGCAGUCACUUUGUAACACACAAUCUCUAUUUGGAACAUAGAAUGUCCUGUCCAAGAUAUUAAUCAAAACUCAAGCUUGUUGUGAUAUCAACUAUCACAUCUUCUCCCUUCUCAGUUUGGAUCUGCUUCUCCCUGGAAAUAGACAAAGGGAAAGGGCUGUGGGAGUAGAGCUUGAGAGGCACCUGAUUUCCUUUCUAUCUUUUACACUGUGAUCCUUAUCCUCCCUCUAACAGCAGCUCACCAGACAGUGUCUGUCAUUCAGAUCCUGGCAGCGGGGAGACAGAGGAAAAGCCUUAUUUGAACUGGACCUUCCUUAUCAGGCUUCUCAUUUUCAGGGUUCAACAGAUGGCUAAGGUUGAUGUUUCUGCUCGAGAGUCAUCUUCAUGGAUUUGCAGAAGACCCCACUCCUGAAAUCCCUUUCACCUGGGCCGAUGCAUCUAAUUAUGAUGGUAGAUUGAAAGCUUUUCAGCUCCCAGGGACACAGCAUUCAUUUCCAUCUUCUCCUGUGGGGAUCCCUGGCCCAUCUAGUUGGAUUUCUUAGAAGGACUUAAGGGCUCUACAUUGGUUCUCUCUCCCACAUAAAACAAGGAAGGGAGCAUAUUUGCUCCUUUAUUCCAGCACUCUGAAGUGCAGGCAGGCCCUCCCCAAGGCAGUGACCCCUACCCCUCUACCUGAAGCCACUAUGCCUUUGGCAGUCAUGAGUCAAGCUGAGCCCAUAUUUCCCACACAUUCCAUGGCCCUCUGAAUCAUUACGUAGUCACUCCUCACUAGACUUGGGAUGGAAUGGGGUACCACUACCUGUGGAAGAAGAAUGACACCAUGGCCAGUAACAGCUCUCUCCCAAGGCAUCUCUCCACUGUGCUCUCUUUCCCUCUCCUCUGUAAAUACUUUUAUAGCCUUGAAAAAAAGGAGGAGACAUAAGAAUUAUGCAAUAGUUUUUUUUUAACCUUUGUAAAAUCUGUUUAUAGUAAACUCUCUCAUACACAUCUUGUUAUCUGAUGUUAAUUAUUGGAACCUCAUUCAAAGCUAUGUUAGAAAGAGCCCCAUUUAAGCUUCUCUUAAAUUUAUAAAAGAAAAUUGUUCAUAAAUUAAAUUAUAAGGAAAAGAAAGUUGAUUUUCUAUAUUCUUCCAUGUUUGAUCUUUCCACAUGGUCAUGGAAACCACCUCACGCCUCUUAAUUUUUUAGUUCUUUUGACAGAAAACACAGAAACUAUGGUUCCCAACACCAUAGGGCAGUACUACCACAGUCUCCACCACCUCAAGCAAUAGACUUUCCAACCUCUUCUCUCCAUUAAACUUCUCUAUUACCAGACUCUUACUAAAUUAUCUUACUAAAGAUAGUUUUUGAAUGUCUCUCUUGUGCUAAGAAUUGUAGAGUUCUGGUGGCAGAAGAUGACAGAGAGUUUUUUUUCUUUUUGUCCUAGAAGAAUUUAUAGUUUAUUCUAGUUCUUUCCAUUGGAAUCUGAAACAAUAUACAAAAACAGUGCAAUAGUUUUUUUCAAUACAUUUUGAUCAAUGUGGAAAUACAUUUUUGUAACAGUUGAGGAUUCAUACUGUAUAUUAUAACGUUGGUCAGAAUAACUGAGUCUGAUGAUUGAGUUGGGAGACGCAUGGUGGGGCACGGAAGAAUGUGCCCCUUUAGGUCAGAGGUAAGCUGGUGCCACCAAAAGGAACUUUGUUUAUCACAAUCCACUAGAACUUUUAAUUUCUUUGUGUUUGUAUUUUCUUUCAUAGGACAAGGUCAGGGAAAUAAGCAUUUCUACUCAAACUCCCAAAUAGUACUGAAAGAAUACCAAAUGAAUAGGACUAUAAUGGUAUAUUUUAAACAUUUUUUUCAAAAGAAUUGGCAUUUACCUUUUAACUCCUUCAAUGUCACCCUAAGCUCUAGUGCUAGUAACUCAGAAAAUUUAACAACCACUGAUCCAUUCACUAUUAAAGAAAAUGUUAUAAACUCAUUUGGACUGAGGUGUUAAUUGUUAUUUUUAAGGUUAAUGGUUAUUAGUUGUUCUUGAUCUUCUAGGAUAACAUUUGCAUUUUAGGCUUUAAAAAAAAUCCCAAAUGUCCUUAAACCUGAAGGACUUGGUUAGAUAAAUAUUUUGGGGAAUGAUGGCAAAGCCUGCUGUGGCAAUUUUUUGAUAGGGUGAAUACCAGUACUGGCUGAUCCUCCCACUCAAGAAACACACUUAAAUCCAGUGUUGGCUUUGGGAAUGCUGAGAAAACAUUGGCUUUGGGAAUAGAGAAAGAAAACAUCAGUAGAAAAAUGAAAAACAGAAGUGAUUUGAAGGACAGCUUUAGGCUUCACCAUAUUCUGUACCCAUUAAAUAACUCCCCAUUUUUCCCUACUCCCAGUCCCUGACAACCACCAUUUUAAUUUCUAUUUUUAUGAAUUUGACUAAUCUAGAUAACUUCAUGUAAUUAAAAUCAUACAACUUUUACCUUUUUGUGAUUGUCUUAUUUUAUUUAGCAUAAUGUCAUUAAGAUAUAUCCAUGUUUAACCCAUGCCAGAAUUUUCUUCCUUUUUAAGGCUGAAUAGUAUUUCGUUAUGUGUAUACACCACAUUUUGUUUAUUCAUUCAGCUAUGGAUAGAAACUUGGGUUGCUUUUAUUUUUCGCUAUUGUAGACAGUGCUGCCGUGAGCAUGGGUAUGCAAAUAUCUCUUCAGGAUCCUGCUUUCAAUUCUUCUGGAUAAAUAUAAAGAAGUGAGAUUGCUGGAUCACAUGACAAUUCUACUUUUUAUUUUUUGAGGAACUUCCAUACUGUUUUUCACAGUGUCUGCACAAUUUUACAUUCCCACCAACAGUGUACAAAGGUGUCAAUUUCUCUGCAUCCUCACCAGCACUGGUUAUUUUCUGGGUUUUUUUUUUUUUCUUUUUGAUAGUUGCCAUUUUCAUGGGUGGGAGUGAUAUCUCAUUGUGGUUUAGAUUUGCAUUUCUCUAAUGAUUAAUGAUGUUGAGUAUCUUUUCAUAUGUUUGUUGAUCAUUUGCAUAUCCUCUUUGGAGAAAUGUUUAUUCUUUUGCCCAUUUUAAAAUCAAGUUUCAAUGCUUCCUGCUAUUUAUUUUAAAUGUGCUUUACAAGUUAGAACUUGUGAAUUUUGACCAGCAUGAUGUAAUGCCACUCAGCAUGGCUUUUCAGGCUGGUGUCGGGCUGGUAGAAGGAUGAGUUAGAAUGAGCAAGGCCAAAACUCAGAGUUCAGACAGGGGCAGGGGAAGAUAGAUAGUCCAGAGAGAAUCAUUCCUUUCUUCCUUCAUGCAAACACACGUGCAAAUAGCAAGGAUUUGUUCCAUGCUGCCAUGUGCUAGGCACUGAGCUAGAGAUAUGAAAAGGGACACAAAGUGGGACAGGAUACCUUUGGGGUUUGGAAGGUAGAAUCUGCACUUAGACUGCUUGGGUGUGAAUUUUAGCUGCAGUAUCUGCAGCGUGUGGACAUAUUUUGACUGGGUUACAUCAUAAAGAGCUUUUAUCUCAUGCUAAGGGCUUACUUGUAAAGCUGUAAGACUGGGACCCAUUGAAGGGUUUUAGGUAUUACAAGCUUCAAAGAAAAACAAAUGAAAUAAUCUAAACUUUUAAGGAAACUAUCAUAGAAAGACAGAUUUAGAAAACAGAAAGGGGAAUAAAAUCCCCCUAAAAGCAAGGGCUGUAAUGGACACAAUUAAAUGCUAGGGUCUUGGUUCUAUAGUUCUAUAGUUGACUAGUUAUAUGACCUGACAAAGUCAUUUUAACUCUCUGGCCCAAGGUUUUCUUAUAUAUAAAACAGGGAUAAUGCCUUACAAAACUUAAAAAAAAUAAUUAACUAAGAAGAUGUACUCAAAAGUGUAUUGCAAGGGUUUCUUUUUUAAUUUUUCUUUCUUUUUUUUUUUUUUUUUUUUUUGGCACACAGGAGCAGUAUGCUGUGUUUUAAAGGACAUUUUAAAAAUUGGCUUGGUUUCCUCUACUCACACCAUUUUAGCCCCCGCAUUUGGGGCUAUUUCACCCUCAUUUGCAAGCUUAGACCCGAGCCAGGGUCUGAGAUUCAUCAGGCUCCAACCCAUGCCAGUUUAGUUUUUUUCUGAUGUUUUUCUUUUUUUUCCCCCCAGAAAUUUGGCUAUUAUACUUUAAAAAAAAAAAAAAAUCUUGCUUAGACUGUUUGCUCCCCUAUUUUCUUCUUCCCUUUCCCCUCAGCAUCAUGUAUUGGAAAAAAGGUGAAAGUCUGGAUUAAUGAAUCCAAAAAUUAAUGUUACCUUGUAUUUUUACCUGUAUUGUUACUUGUAUUUUUCUAAGGCACCAUAAUCACACUACAAAGAGGUGAAGACACACAACACUACAGUGAAGGAUAGAAUGCUAGUUCCAGUUUGAUUUUCAUUAUUUUUCAAGAUUUUCUUUGGCGCUGAGUAUUCUGUUGAAAAUUUUUUUACACUGAAAUAUCAGGAGAUAGAGUUUUAGGAGAAUACACAACCAGGUGUAUGCCCUGGACAGUCUAUCUCAGAAACACAAAUGUUUUGUUCUUUCCAGAAGGGAAAGAAGAGAGCAGCAACUGGCCACCUGGCACUCCUGCAACUCCUCUCUGAUCAGGAAGGAAACUGCCUGGGCUCCUGUGGAAAAUUAGCUUAUUCUCAUGGCUUUGGAAUAUGUUUCUCCAUUCAUUAAGAAUAUCUUUCUAUCAGAAUGGGCUAGGGGAGAAGCAAGAGAGAAAUUUACUUUUUGAUCUAGAGAUCAAAAACUGAAAAGCCUUUGUUUGUUUGUUUGUUUUUAUAAGAAAGAAUAGCAGAACAGAAUUAGAAUGUAGAUUUGAAGAAACAUAAGGAAAAAUAAAUCCAUGAUUAUGUGAAUUGAUUAAUGUAUUGUGUGUUUCUUUGACUAUUUUAAUUAUUAAUAUAUAAAUAUAAAUCAGGCUGCGGAAGACUAGGAGGAAGAUUAUGUGCUUCCUGAUCAAAUUAUAGCCCCAGCACAUGGCACAGUGGCUAUAGUAGAUAUUCAAUAAACACUUGUUAAAUGAAAGAAGGUAAGGAGAAGGAAGAAAGGAAUGAAAUACAUAGGGAAGGCGAAAAGGAGGGAGUGAUCAAAGAAGGCAAGAAGGAACAUAUACAACUGACGUGUGAUUUCUCUGUUGAAACUGACAAGGGUACAAUUGCAUUAUUUACCUUGUUCAAUAAAAUAAAUCUGAAGAUUUUCACAAACAAUGUUGUGGAGUGAGCAUUCCAUAUUCUUAUCUAUAAUAAACAACAGGGAUGAAGUGAACAUUUGAGGGAGAACCUUGGUAAUGAAUUAUUAGAUAAAUUAUUUCAUGCAGUUUCCAUUCACUUUUCAAAAACAAAGAGAUUGGAUUAGAAUCAUCCAUUCACAUUGACAUUCAUCAAUAAAGUUAUAGAUGACUCAGCAAUUAUCUAACCCAAAGCCUUAAUUGAAGAUGCAGCUGUCUGGAAAUAUUCUCCCCCGCUACUUCCAAAAUACCUCCUUUAAAUUUGAAUUGUGGAAUGUUUCUUUAUUGGAAAAAUAAGAGCUAACAUUUAUUCAGUGUUGACAAUGUGGUGUGAACACCUAUUCUAAUCACAUAGACACACACACAUAAAAUCCUUUAAUUUUCACUAGAACUCAAGAUAUGAUAGAUAUUAUCAUAGAGCCCAGUUUUACAGAUGAAGAAACUGAAGAAUGGAGAGGUUAAGUAACCUGCUUAGUAGAAGCAGAAUUCAAGUUCAGACCAACUGACUCCAGAGGCUGUGCUUAUAUCUACUGUGUCUCAUUGUACUUUCUGCUUAUAUUUUAAGUCUUUAUGUGCAUGGUUUGUUUUUGCUUCUAGUACAGUGGUUCUCAACUAGGGGAUUGUUAGCAAAUCUGGAGAUAUUUUUGAGGUGCAAGAAAUGUGGUGGAACAUUCUAGAAUGCACAGGACAGUGUACCACAACAAAGAAUUAUCUAGCCAGAGGUUGAGAAACCUUGUUGCAGAGUAUUAGACACUAAAGGACAAGAAUUAUGCCUUACUUACAUUUGUAUAGCAUUUGGAACAGAGUUGGCUGAAAAUUAAUAUUUGUCCAUGAAAAACUUAAGUUACCUAGUCUGUUAAAAGGAAGGAGUUUUACAUAAUAAUCAAUAAGGUACUACUGAACUCUAACUCAGCAAAUUAAUGUCUGUGUCCUGGAAACAUACAGUUUACCUAUUGAGGCCAAGGUACUGGUUUUUCCUGCCUCUUAACUGUAUGAUGCUAUGUUAUGAAAUUAUAUAGAUUAAAAGCAAAAGAGUAUAGGUGAGUAUCAUUAGAAAAAAAGGUAAGUAAGCAUACAAAAUAUAGUUUUUAUUUAAUGAAUAUGAGAAACAGAUGGAAAAGUGAUAUUACUCACCUUAAGAAUUUACCAGCUGCAAGGAAAGUAUAAUUUAUACAAAAUUUUGGAAUGAAUGAGUUUUAUACCUAACAUCAUUAGGC
rnacentral:lncRNA from 1 species